rnacentral:rRNA from 1 species
UGGGGAAUCUUGCGCAAUGGAGGAAACUCUGACGCAGCUACGCCGCGUGCAGGAAGACACCCCUAAGGGGCGUAAACUGCUUUUAUAAGGGAAGAAGGCCUCUCUCUUCGGAGAGGGUUUGACGGUACCUUAUGAAUAAGGACCGGCUAACUCCGUGCCAGCAGCCGCGGUAAUACGGAGGGUCCAAGCGUUGUCCGAAAUUACUGGGUGUAAAGGGUGUGUAGGCGGAGCGGAAAGUCAGAGGUGAAAGCUCCCGGCUUAACCGGGAAAUGGUCUUUGAUACUACCGCUCUUGAGUCCCGGAGAGGCCACCGGAAUUCGUGGUGUAGCGGUGAAAUGCGUAGAUAUCACGAGGAACACCAGAAGCGUAAGCGGGUGGCUGGACGGUGACUGACGCUCAGGCACGAAAGCGUGGGGAGCAAACAGGAUUAGAUACCCGCGUAGUCC